AACGAACGCUGGCGGCAUGCCUAACACAUGCAAGUCGAACGAGACCUUCGGGUCUAGUGGCGCACGGGUGCGUAACGCGUGGGAAUCUGCCCUUGGGUUCGGGAUAACAGUUGGAAACGACUGCUAAUACCGGAUGAUGACUUCGGUCCAAAGAUUUAUCGCCCAGGGAUGAGCCCGCGUCGGAUUAGCUAGUUGGUGAGGUAAGAGCUCACCAAGGCGACGAUCCGUAGCUGGUCUGAGAGGAUGAUCAGCCACACUGGGACUGAGACACGGCCCAGACUCCUACGGGAGGGAGCAGUGGGGAAUAUUGGACAAUGGGCGAAAGCCUGAUCCAGCAAUGCCGCGUGAGUGAUGAAGGCCUUAGGGUUGUAAAGCUCUUUUACCCGGGAUGAUAAUGACAGUACCGGGAGAAUAAGCCCCGGCUAACUCCGUG
rnacentral:rRNA from 1 species